GGGCCCGCACAAGCGGUGGAGCAUGUGGUUUAAUUCGAUGAUACGCGAGGAACCUUACCAGGACUUAAAUGUAAGUUGCAUGAUUCAGAAAUGAAUCUUUCUUCGGACUACUUACAAGGUGCUGCAUGGUUGUCGUCAGCUCGUGCCGUGAGGUGUCAGGUUAAGUCCUAUAACGAGCGCAACCCCUAUCGUUAGUUGCCAUCAAGUAAAGUUGGGAACUCUAGCGAAACUGCCGGUGCAAACCGUGAGGAAGGUGGGGAUGACGUCAAAUCAUCACGGCCCUUACGUUCUGGGCUACACACGUGCUACAAUGGCCGGUACAGAAAGCAGCCACUAUGCGAGUAGGAGCGAAUCCUUAAAACCGAUCUCAGUUCGGAUCGCAGUCUGCAACUCGACUGCGUGAAGCUGGAAUCGCUAGUAA
rnacentral:rRNA from 1 species